rnacentral:tRNA from 1 species
AGUGGUAUAGUUCCGUGGUAGAACUCAUGGUUAGCAUGCAUGAGGUCCUGGGUUCAAUCCCCAGCACCUCCA